CCCUUAGAUGUUCUGGGCAGCACGCGCGCUACAAUGGUCUUCGCAAACGGAUGCAUUCUCGAAGGAGAAUGCCAAUCUUGGAAUCUAUGCCUUGGUCGGGACAGUUGCUUGCAAUUUUUCGACUCGAACCAGGAAUUCCUUGUAAUCGUGAUUCAUCACAUCACGAUGAAUACGUCCCUGCCCUUUGUACACACCGCCCGUCGCUCCUACCGAUCGAAGAGUUAGGUGAAUUGUUUUGAUCGAUAAGAUUUGACUAUGGUCAACUCUCGUUGUGAAAUUCUGUGAAUCUGACUGUUUAGAGGAGGGAAAAGUCGUAACA
rnacentral:rRNA from 1 species